UCGGAACAUACCCUAGAGUGGGGGAUAACGUAGCGAAAGUUACGCUAAUACCGCAUACGCACUAUGGUGGAAAGCAGGGGAUCGCAAGACCUUGCGCUCAUGGAGUGGCCGAUGUCAGAUUAGCUUGUUGGUGGGGUAAAAGCCUACCAAGGCGGCGAUCUGUAGCUGGUCUGAGAGGACGACCAGCCACACUGGAACUGAGACACGGUCCAG
rnacentral:rRNA from 1 species